rfam:Salmo salar isolate Sally breed double haploid chromosome ssa20, whole genome shotgun sequence.
UUGAAUUGCUCCUGUAAUUUGCUCUGGAUAAGAGCAUCUGCUAAAUGACAAAAA